rnacentral:lncRNA from 1 species
AAGAAGCCACUUCAUCUUAGGAGCUGACUGAUGUGUACCACAAAUUCCUUCAUGAACCUCUCCCAUAGACACUCUGGCCUGAUCAGAACGCAAGCACUUCAAAAGUAAAUCCUCCACGGUCUGCCGAUACAACUCACCAUCAAUCAAAGUGAACUUGAAAGCCUACCGUCGGACUUUUCUAUCGACUGCACACUUGGGGUUCUGUAAAUAAUCAAUAAGAUGUCUCCUCUAGUCAUCUACUU